AUGGUUAAGUUAGAAAGGGCGCACGGUGGAUGCCUUGGCACUAGGAGCCGAUGAAGGACGGGACGAACACCGAUAUGCUUCGGGGAGCUGUAAGCAAGCUUUGAUCCGGAGAUUUCCGAAUGGGGAAACCCACUGCUCGUAAUGGAGUAGUAUCCAUACUUGAAUACAUAGAGUAUGAGAAGGCAUACCCGGGGAACUGAAACAUCUAAGUACCCGGAGGAAGAGAAAGCAAAUGCGAUUCCCUGAGUAGCGGCGAGCGAAACGGGAACAGCCCAAACCAAGAGGCUUGCCUCUUGGGGUUGUAGGACACUCUAUACGGAGUUACAAAGGAACGAUAUAAGCGAAGAGGUCUGGAAAGGCCCGCCAAAGAAGGUAACAGCCCUGUAACUGAAAUGUUGUUCUCUCCAGAGUGGAUCCUGAGUACGGCGGAACACGUGAAAUUCCGUCGGAAUCCGGGAGGACCAUCUCCCAAGGCUAAAUACUCCCUAGUGACCGAUAGUGAACCAGUACCGUGAGGGAAAGGUGAAAAGCACCCCGGAAGGGGAGUGAAAUAGAUCCUGAAACCGUGUGCCUACAAGUAGUCAGAGCCCGUUAACGGGUGAUGGCGUGCCUUUUGUAGAAUGAACCGGCGAGUUACGAUCCCGUGCAAGGUUAAGCAGAAGAUGCGGAGCCGCAGCGAAAGCGAGUCUGAAUAGGGCGCAUGAGUACGUGGUCGUAGACCCGAAACCAGGUGAUCUACCCAUGUCCAGGGUGAAGUUCAGGUAACACUGAAUGGAGGCCCGAACCCACGCACGUUGAAAAGUGCGGGGAUGAGGUGUGGGUAGGGGUGAAAUGCCAAUCGAACCUGGAGAUAGCUGGUUCUCUCCGAAAUAGCUUUAGGGCUAGCCUCAAGGUAAGAGUCUCGGAGGUAGAGCACUGAUUGGACUAGGGGCCCCUACCGGGUUACCGAAUUCAGUCAAACUCCGAAUGCCGAUGACUUAUCCUUGGGAGUCAGACUGCGAGUGAUAAGAUCCGUAGUCGAAAGGGAAACAGCCCAGACCGCCAGCUAAGGUCCCAAAGUAUACGUUAAGUGGAAAAGGAUGUGGAGUUGCUUAGACAACCAGGAUGUUGGCUUAGAAGCAGCCACCAUUUAAAGAGUGCGUAAUAGCUCACUGGUCGAGUGACUCUGCGCCGAAAAUGUACCGGGGCUAAACGUAUCACCGAAGCUGCGGACUGUUCUUACGAACAGUGGUAGGAGAGCGUUCUAAGGGCUGUGAAGCCAGACCGGAAGGACUGGUGGAGCGCUUAGAAGUGAGAAUGCCGGUAUGAGUAGCGAAAGACGGGUGAGAAUCCCGUCCACCGAAUGCCUAAGGUUUCCUGAGGAAGGCUCGUCCGCUCAGGGUUAGUCGGGACCUAAGCCGAGGCCGAAAGGCGUAGGCGAUGGACAACAGGUUGAUAUUCCUGUACCACCUCCUCACCAUUUGAGCAAUGGGGGGACGCAGGAGGAUAGGGUAAGCGCGGUAUUGGAUAUCCGCGUCCAAGCAGUUAGGCUGGGAAAUAGGCAAAUCCGUUUCCCGUAAAGGCUGAGCUGUGAUGGCGAGCGAAAUUUAGUAGCGAAGUUCCUGAUUCCACA
rnacentral:rRNA from 1 species